CUGCGUGCCAGGCUUCCCCUGCUGCCGGCUCACUUUUAAGCCCACACGGUGAAASACAAUUGUUUUCGGGUGGAAAAAUAACCAUCAUUUUCUCAGGAAAUCUUUCACGGAGGGGCUGGGAGCUCUGCCUGUCAGUACGUAACAAGAUGUCCAUGUUGCAAAGGUGAGGCCAUGGGAGAUGCAGCGUGUACUGAAAACGCAACCAGACCCUGCUCCUCCUUCAGAUCGUCCUUAGAAAUCCCGUGGAACCAAGGCACGCCAGCAAGGCCUCCUUUGUCAGGAUCCGAGCUGCUACAGGACACCAACUGAACUAAUCCAAAGAGAAACCCCUGCAGUGGUUUUACGAUGAACUGAGCUUUUCACUCAUCGAGACUCUUCCCCUCUUCGGCAGCAUUUGUUAUGGUGAGUUUUGUGGGAAGGAURCUUGUCUC
rnacentral:lncRNA from 1 species